GGGCCCGCACAAGCGGUGGAGCAUGUGGUUUAAUUCGAUGCAACGCGAAGAACCUUACCUGGUCUUGACAUCCACAGAACUUUCCAGAGAUGGAUUGGUGCCUUCGGGAACUGUGAGACAGGUGCUGCAUGGCUGUCGUCAGCUCGUGUUGUGAAAUGUUGGGUUAAGUCCCGCAACGAGCGCAACCCUUAUCCUUUGUUGCCAGCGGUCCGGCCGGGAACUCAAAGGAGACUGCCAGUGAUAAACUGGAGGAAGGUGGGGAUGACGUCAAGUCAUCAUGGCCCUUACGACCAGGGCUACACACGUGCUACAAUGGCGCAUACAAAGAGAAGCGACCUCGCGAGAGCAAGCGGACCUCAUAAAGUGCGUCGUAGUCCGGAUUGGAGUCUGCAACUCGACUCCAUGAAGUCGGAAUCGCUAGUAAUCGUGGAUCAGAAUGCCACGGUGAAUACGUUCCCGGGCCUUGUACACACCGCCCGUCACACCAUGGGAGUGGGUUGCAAAAGAAGUAGGUAGCUUAACCUUCGGGAGGGCGCUUACCACUUUGUGAUUCAUGACUGGGGUGAAGUCGUAACAAGGUAACCGUAGGGGAACCUGCGGUUGGAUCAC
rnacentral:rRNA from 1 species